GUGAAGGAGUCGUCAGUGCUGUGAGGAAAUCAAGGAGAAGAACUUGUCAGGAAAGCUAAGCUGCUGGCUGCUGCUUCAGCUGACCUUCUCGACAUCUCAGAGGACUGUCUUGGAAACACCGGGUUUGGGAAGCUUUGAGUAAAAGUUGCUGGUCUUCACUCUGCUCCUCAGAUACAGUGAAGACAAGUUUCCUCCACAAGGAUCUGCAGUAUCUGGAUCUGCUGUAUGGCCAGGGGGAAAAAGAUGGAAUGCCGAUCAGAUUUGCUGUAUAACCCUUAUGCAGAUUGAGCCCUCUGGU